CCACUGUUCUGCUUCUGUCUUCAUGAAUUUGACUACUCCAGGAAUCAUGAGAAAAGGAGAAGAUGAGGCAUUGAGACUAUGUGAACUCUCUUUGAACAGAAGCAAAAAUGCAUUUGAAGUGAGAAAUCGGAGAACCCACAUUUCUACCUAGACAUCCACUCUCAGGAAGAAAAUAACAACACUCUUUGCAAAAGAUUAAGAUGCUCAUUUUACUCCAUAAAACAGGUCUCCAUGCCACUGCCCUUAGUCAAUAGAAGUGAAUAGAAGACUGAUACUGUCUUGUUUGUUCCAUCAAUUGAGCAUUUGAUGUCCGUUGAGAAGAAGACUGACAACAGCAGUGCCAUCGCCACCACCACCACCACCACCACCAUUCGGUUCAAUGAUUUUCAUCUAUGUACACCACUGAGUGCAGAUAAGUUUUCCCUAUAUUAAAAUUGGGUUCCUUGAAAUUUCCUACUAUUAUUUGUCAUUUAGUCCUUCCUGGUCUAAAUAAAUAGAUAAGGUUAAUUCUU